UGAAUGAGGAUGAGACACGGCUGCAGGUAGACCCUUCCCGGGCAGCCAGCUUGAGGGGGCAGCCUUCAGCUGGUCCUGCUUGCUGGGUGGGAGGGACUCUAGAAUCCCAGGCAUUUGGUACAAAGCAGCUGCAGUGACAGGCUGUGUGCGCCCUCCAUCCCCUCCCCCCAGCACUGCCUCUGCUAAUGUCUGUCUGGCAGCUCAGCUGCUCACAAGCGAGCACGCUAGAGGCUCAGGGUCCUCAGAGGGAUCUGAGGAGAAGGGGCAGGCUUGCCAGCCCUCAAAGUCCUCUUCCCUGGAGGCAGGGCUGCCUUCUCCUUUUGCAGUUUCUUCCCUUCCUGGUUUCUGUGUUUUCAGGGCCGCCCAGGGGCUGCAGAGCUGUGUUCCACGCAUUCAUUCCCUUAGCAAAUAUUUGCCAAGUCCUCCUCUUCUUCCUCCUCUUCCCUUUCCUCCAGCUCCUUGCCCUUUAUUAGCAUAUCCAGUGGAAGCUGUCUCCUUUCUGGGGUGUAUGUCCCCAAGGAGGUAGGAAAGGAGAAGGGGACUGCAUAAGUGGCAGCAUCAUUAGUGUAGCGGGAGGAUUCUGGUGCGGGUUCCUGGGAGCCACAGCCAAGGUCCUGCUACACUGGCUGAGGGGCACCUGCUACUUGUUGGGCCAGAGGCAUACUCUUUACCCCCAUGCUUCUCCUAGGCAGCCAUUCCCACGGCUGGGCUCCAGGAGUCCAGGCCUGUUUGGAGUCCUCCUGGGGGCUGGGCAGCCUAGGUUGGCUACAUGGUGUUCACAGCAGAAUCUCCUCCAUCUACAGCCAUUCUUUGUCCCAGGAGCCAGACACACCUAGCCAUGCACCGCUGGGACUGGGCCUAAAAGUAAGGAUGCUUCUGUGGUCAAGGUCCGGGAGGCAGUAAGAAAAAUGGUGGGCAGCCUCCUUCUGGCCAGUACCAAUGUGGAAAAUCACAGAAGAUGAAAAGACACUGGUGUGUGUCUUUAUAUGGUGUGUGUAUGUGUAGUAUAUGCUCUAUGUUAUUGGUGUGUUAUGUGUGCUCUUGUAUGGGAAGGACUUUUUGCAUAUGUGUAAAAGUGAGUGUGCUGUUUGUGGACUUGGUGUGUGUAUAUGUGUAUGUGUGUUCAAAAGCAUGUCUGAGCAUGUCACAUGUAGGUAGGUACAUGAAUGUUAUGUGCAUAUGGGGAUAUUGUGUCAUGAAUGAGUGUGUGUGGUAUUAAAAUGGGUUCCUAUGUGUUAGGCACAUGAAAAUAUGUGUGUGGCUUAUGUGUGACAUAUGAUUUUGUGCAUGUUAAUAUGUACAUGCCUGUUAGUGUAAGUGUGUUGUGUGAUAGUGCAGUGUGUAUGCAGUAUAUUUGUACAUGUGUGCUUAUAGUCAAGUCCGGCUUGAAGAGGGACAUGGGAGGGAGCUGGGGCUAGCUAGUUUGGUAAAGUGUUUGCCUGGCAUGCUCCUUGCCAAAUCCCCAGCAAAAAGAAAAAUAAAUAAAAGAGCAAUGGAGUGAACUCACGCAUAAACCAUGUAGGGUCAGACUGCUCUAUUUUGUGAACUUGGACUGAAUACACCCACCUGUCCUCUGCCGGAGAGAAGACAGGGUGUGCUUAGAGACCAGGCAGGUGUGGGUUUGCAGCCGGCAGCUUUCUUCCUGAGAUGUCAGUAUGUCUUUUCCUCCCUGUGCCAGCUGCGUUCCUCACUGACAGGAAGGAGGGGUAGCUUCCUAGAGGCCCGAGAAGGAGAAAAAAACCUUUGCUGGGUGGGCAGGUACCUGGGUAGAAGAGGGAGGAGGAACCCUGGGCAGCAUUAGCUCUAAGAAGCAAACUUCCCAUGGGGUAGCCCAUGAAGGCCUUGGGAAAUAAGUGACCUGGGCUAGGAAGGGUUGGUGUUGUGCACAGGCCUGCCAUGGUAUGCAUGACCUGUGGCCAGCCAUCCAAGGAGAGACUAGGCUAUAUGGCAGUGUGGGUAAACAGUAGCUGGGUGGUGAGUUAAUGACCAGCAGGACUCAUCCUGGCCAGUAGUGAUUUCCUGUGCCUGGUGACAUUACUCAGCAGCCCAGUGUGGACAGAGGGGACUCAGGGUUUGUUCAUGUUUGCAAGAUGAAUAAGAGGUCUAAUGCAGAGAGUAAAAGGCUACCGGACAGUCCCAGCUCUUCAGAAAAUGACAGUUUCAUUACCUGCCCUGGGGGUGUAGUCACCAUGGCCACUGAAACUGUGAACACCAUGACCACCAAAACUUAGAACAUGACUACCAUCACCGUCAUUUCACUCCCGUCACCACCAUCACCAUCACCAACAUCCGCCACCACCAAAACUAAUGCAAUGAUCACCAUCACUAUCACAUCUCUGUCACCACCGGCAUCACCACGAUUACCAACAUUAGUGUCGUAUGGCUGCCCUCACCACCAUCAUCGCCAGCACCAACAUCAUCAUCACCACCAAACCUAAGAACACGACCACCAUCGCCACCACCAUGACUGCUAUUACCAACAUGAGCAUCGUCAUGUCCACUAAAUCUACGGACAUGACCACCGGGACCAUUGCCAUCACUGUCACCACCGCAAAUACCGCUGUCACUGUCACCAAAACCAUGGCCAGGACCAUUACCAUCUCUACCACAACUAUCAACCAACCAUCAUGACAGCAACAGGGGUAACAGAUGGAUCUUUCUUUGUGUGUAGUUUUUCUCUGUCCCUUUUCAUGUUGUCUAUGUCAUGCACUAGCAAACUGUCCGCCAGGUAGUUUGGGCUUCUGGUUGGGCUUCCAGCCGUUUGGAAGCGGGGAAGAGCAUUGGAGGUAGACGACUCUGAUGGGAGUCUGUCAUGGGAGAAGUCUAUCCUCCUUCACUGCCCUUGCCUUGCUGUCCUCGAGGGCUUCUCCCAUGACCCUUGACCCUGGGUGUGGUCCUAACUCCAGCAGAUCUCCCCAGUGUCGUUGGAGACUUGGUUUCCCCACAGCCUGGCUCCAGUAGCUCUCCUCCUGAGCUGGUCUCUCCAAGCCCCUUGGUGUUGGGCUACCUAUUCCCAUCCACUCUUGGAAUGGCUCCAGGAACAGUGCUCACAGCCGGGAGACCCAGCAGCAGCUCCUGUACCACACUGCCACUGCCUCAGCCGCUGGUGGCAUUUACGGCUGGACACUCCAGCCUGUGGAAUGUCCCAUGGGCUUGAAAUAAGGCCUCAAGCAGAUGAGGUGGGAAUGGGGGCCACCCUCAUAGUCUAUGGAGGCCUUUCCUGGGCUGGCUCCAGAAGAGCUGCAGAAGCCUGGCGUCUGAGGCCUUGUGUGGGGAGUAGAGAAGGCUCCUGCCGCCCUCUACCUCAGGUCAAAGCGGGGCCUGUCCUUGCGGCUUCAAGCAAUUUCCAUCCGUGCUGCCCUCCCCACCCUUCUUCCCGUUUUCCUUCCCUGCCCUUCCUGUGCCCCCACCCAGUUCUCUCUUCACAAAAGCGGCUCCCUUGUUUCUUCCUUCCCUCCCAUCCUGACCCUGGCCCUGGGGACAGUGCUGGAGUCUCCACUUCUAGGAUGCCAAGCAGCCUCGGCUCCUGUUGUCAGUGGCUAUGACCUUCCAGAGAACUGGAACAAAAAGGAGGCAGCAAGCCCCUGGCCUGGCCACUCUGCAAUCUAACACUGGAGCCUCGGGGAGGCAUCUUCCCCCGGGGGGUUGGUAGGAGCCCGUACCCUACGCUGUAUGAGUGGGAUGGUGUCACUACAGCUCAUAGUCUUUUCUUAAGCGUGUCCCCAUCCUGGAGCCUUUGAGAUGCCUGGACUAACAGCAGCAGCAGGCCUGGGGACAUGUUCCAAGCCAGGGUGCAUGUUGACUCCUGGGGACUUGCUGGAAACUAAAUGUUGACAGAGAUGGCGCCAGGAAUGGUACCAAGGAUGGUGCCGGGGAUGGUGCGGUGAUGCUGUCACCUCUCCCAGGUCCUAAUGGCUCCCAGGUCCCUUGGGACCCCACUGCCUUCCAGACUCCAGCCUUUGUCAUGGCUGCAGCCUCCAAUGCUCACUGUUGUCUCUUGGCCACCUCCUUCCCUCCUGUCCUUAAUCUUUUCCACAGAGACAACAGCAUCAGUCAGUUCAAGCACCUGCUGGCCACCAGGCUGUCAGUGCCCCCUGGGGAAGCUCACCCUCUUCUGAGUGUACUACUCCACAGGGACCAUGUUAUUUACCCAAGGGAUUCAGGAGGUGUCUCAAGUAGUCCUGCCAUUGCCACAGGGCCUGGCUGGCCAGCAUCACUGUCUUCCCAGGUGCCAUUUCCCUGUAACUUCACCAACACUGUAGCCACGAAGGAACGGGCCCUCAGCUGGCAGGUCUGCUGGUCCCUCUGGCGUGCAAUACUGGUGACAGUAACCACACAAAAUGAAGAGCCACACGGUCACCCUGCCUGCGAACAGGGAAGCUGGGAGCCGGUCUUGGCUCGUGUGAAGCAGGGUGGGACCUGCUGCCUGCACAAAGGCCCUUUUUUUUUUUUUUUAAGCAGUGGGAGGAUGCUGGUGCUGGCCUGCCAGGCCCAGUGGGACCCACCCGCAUAAACACAAUGAACAGCUUGUGUCUCUGGCCACCUGAUCCUCCUGGGCCCCAGGCCUGGCGCCAUGGACAAGGUGUGGGACCAGCCACCGGAACUUGGAGCCGCCCAGUUAAUGACCAAGAAUGUGAGAUCCCGCCCCCAAUGUCAGUGAGUGAGGCUAUGUCCACAGGGCUCAGUACAACAGAACCUCAGUGAAGGCCAGGACAGAACCUUCAUCCUGGACAGAGAGCUCAAAGUCCCAGGACACUGCCUCAGUCCAUUCAAGCGGAUGAGGCGAGGAGGGUUCAGCGGGCUUCAAGAGAGGCUGUAGGAUGGACAGGUGUGGGGUGGAGGAGUUGAAAGAUCCUUAGAGACGGAGGGGAGCUCAGUGCCUCUCCCUGGAUGACCUGGGUGUAAGCAUGUGGCUGUAACUAGGGCUUCCUGGCUUUGCCCUUGUCUCAGGAGGUUUACGGGUGGGGGGUGCCAUUGGCUCUACCCACCCUAGGCUAUCCCCCGACAGCAGGAAGAUGGCUGCUUUAUUUAGGGGCCAGGCUGUGGAAGAGGUAUAGGAGAGGUGGGUACAGAGUGAGCUGAAGGCUUGUGUGAAGAUGGAGUUUCUUCCCAGCCAGGUCUGGCAGUGCUUUAGUCCCAAAUAAACACACAGAGGCUUAUAUUAAUUUAUAAACUGUUUGGCCAGUGGCUCAGGCUUCUUAUUGGCUAGCUCUCCCUUAAUUAUUAUCCUAUUUCUAUUAAGCUCUGUAUUACCAUGAGUCUGUGGCUUACCUGUAAAGCUCUAACAUGUUACUCCUUCAGCGGUUACAUGGUGUGUCCCUGGUGACUCUCUGCAUCUCUCCUCCCAACAUUUUCCUAGUCUGGUAGCCCCACCUAUACUUCCUGGCUACAUCCUGCCUGUCCAUUAGCCAAAGCAGCUUUAUUCAUCAGCCAACAAAAGAAACACAUAUUCACAGCUUACACAGAAGGACAUCCCCCACUCCCCAUGCUGGACAAGUGAGGGGUGGGUAGGGAUGUCUGAGGGAGGAUAAGGGAGAAGAGACUGGGCACAACCAGCAGAGAAGCGGAGUCUCUCACCCUGCCACACCCACCUGGGGCCAAGGAGGAGUGGUCCUGUGCUGAAGGUGUCUGGCUGCUUCUUCAGAGCCUGUCUGCUCCGAGUUUCCAUCUGGAACAGAGUUUUGCAAACUAGAGUUUAAAUAAAUUGAAAACACUUUGCUCACAGCCCUGGGUUCAGGGUCCAAAGUCAAGGUGCAGCAGCACCGAGUCCUUCUGGAGUCCUGAGUGAGCAUCUGUUCCAGGCCUCGAUGCUCACCAGGAGUGCCUGGAGCUCCUGCCUAGAAAGCCACCAGCGGUGCCUGGAGCUCCUUAGCUCCCAGAAGUUCCUCUCUGAUCCCUACCCCUACUGUCACAUAAGAGAUCCCUGUGUCUGUGUGUGUGUCCAAACCCAUCUUCCUCCAUGGUGUCAGCCACGCUAAUGCAGUGAGCUCAUCUCAACUUGACACGGUUAGGGCCUUUAUACAUUUGCAUUCACAAGUGCCGGUGAACACAUCCAUUUAGGGGGUACCACUCAGCCCCCAAAACCCCCUGGGAUGUGGCAGCAAUGUGGGCAGGAGGGAUGAGCAGGGAACUUAGAGGGACUGUGACCCUUGGUUCCACAGGACUGUGAUCAUUGGCCCCCGCUGUGGGACCAGGGUUAUGAGCUGAAUGUCAGGUCCAGUCUUUGGGGUCUCUCCCUCUCGCUGGGAUGCAGGAUAAAGGACAGGAAUACAUACCUCUGAGGAAUGAACCAGAAGUACGUUUGGGAGCCUGUGGUGGUUGAAUAGGAACGGCCUCUGUAUAUUUGAAUGCUUGGUCAUAAGCGAGUGGCCCUACUUGACAGGGAUUAGGAGAUGUGGCCUUGUUGGAGAAAGUGUGUCACUGGGGGUGGGCUUUGGGGUUUCAAAUGCUCAAGCCAGGUCCAGUGUCUGCCUUCUUCAUGCUUCCUGUGAAUCCAGAUGUAGACCUCUCAACUGCCGUGCCUGUCUGCAGUGCUUCCUACCAUGAAGAUGAUGGACUACACCUCUGAAACUGUAAACCAGCCCCGAUUAAAUAUUUUCCUUUAUAA